rnacentral:ncRNA from 17 species
CGUGGAGCCCCGCGUUCGGGUCCGGCGUCGUAAGAGGGAAUCCGGUGCGAAUCCGGAACUGUCCCGCAGCGGUAUGUCGGAACGACCGCCGUCAUCGAGCACUGGGCGCACGCGUCCGGGAAGCGACGGCCACUAGGACCGCGACCUCAUGGUCGCCUGCCGACGAGUCCGAAGACCUGCCAGCUGUACCGGCCGCGCC